GACGAACGCUGGCGGCGUGCCUAAUACAUGCAAGUAGAACGCACAGUUUAUACCGUAUCUUGCUAGACCAUGUACUGUGAGUUGCGAUGGGGUUAGUAACGCGUAGGUAACCUGCCUGGGAUCCUAAUAUAACUAUUUGUCACGAUAGCUAAUACCUCUUAAUAUUAGUUAUUCCAUGGUUAGUAUUUGAAAUUUGCAGUUUCACCACUACCAGAUGGACCUACGUUGUAUUAGCUAGUAGGUGAGGUAACCGCUCACCUAGGUGACGAUACAUAGCCGACCUGAGAGGGUGAGAGGCAAAGCUGGGACUGAGACACGGCCCAGAAUCCUACGGGAGGCAGCAGUCGGGAAUCUUCGGCAAUGGAAGAAAGUCUGAACGAGCAACGCUGCGUGAGUGCAGAAGGUUUUCGGAUCGUAAAGCUCUGUUGUAAGAGAAGAACGGGUGUGAGAGUGGAAAGUGAACACUGUGACGGUAUCUUAAGAGAAAGGGACGGCUAACUACGUG
rnacentral:rRNA from 1 species